AUCAUAGAACUCGGAGAAGCAGAAGCAAGUAAAGCUUAAUGAUCAUAUAAACAGAGGUACUCAACCCGAUCAUACUCAACAUCCUGUAUUUACAACAAAAAGGUGCCACCACUUUACUCUCCUGGAAUUACAUUUGCAGGAGACUGCAGUCCAGUAACCAAGCCAGAAACCUGAGCAUGAAACACAUUAACCAAGAUAUAUACUGAGUACUCAGGAUUAAAAAAGGAGUUUGAGACUGCUGCCCCAAUAAACUGGCAAUCUAUUGAAGGAGUAAGAGGAGGCUUAGCAGCUUGCUUUAGAAUUAAAUCUUCAAAAAAUUUUGUCCGUUCUUCUUUACCAGGUAGGCUGAAAAGGAAUUCUCUGUCAAAGCGACCAGGCCUUCGCAAAGCAGGAUCAAUAGAAUCCAGUCUGUUGGUG